AGAGAAAACAAAAAAGGGUCGUAUCCCUCUUCUCCCCUCACCCGACACCCCCCCGAAACCCUAGAGAGGCCCUCGCUCUUCUUCUCCACUGCGCCCGUUCCCUGCGUCGACCUCACAGGAACGCCUCAGCGUCGACCUUUUCUCUCCCUCCGAGCUCGAGCUCUGCAUGGUGCGGUGGAUAUCCCUCCUCAUUGGGGUCCUAAACCUAGGGAUCGUCCUUUUGGGAGGGAUUCUGUUGGACUCCGUUGUCUCCGGCUUCUCAGCCACGGCGAAGAUCCUCAUCGCCACGACGACGCUUAUCGCCGGCGUGAGGGUCGCAGCCAUGGUCGGCGCCGCGAGGGCGCAGCAUGCCGCAGCAGAGAACAUUGCUGGUAUUUGGCGGACGGUUCCGUCGCCGUCGACGGCGCUCUUCGCCACGAGAGACGGGUGUUCAGACAUAUUAAAGUGGAGGUCCUUUUAUGCGACUCAUGAUACUGCAUGGAAAGCUCAUUACAGAGAGGAUUGCUUAGAAGAAGAUGAAGUUUACUCUGUGGCAAGACUCUUAGGCGACUUGGUGGCAUAUCGAGCAUCAAGAACAGGACAUUUGGAACUCUUGCAGGAGAAGCAAUUAAGGGUCAAUAUGAAGAUCAAUAAAUUGCGUGAGACAGUGAAGGCGCAUCAACAAAAGGCUGAUAUAUUCAGCUUGCGUGAGAGAGAUUUGCUGAAGCACGAUGCUGACGAAGUCUCACAGCAUCAAGCCAAGGGAGAGAAUAAAGAGAGAGCAACAUGCUGGUUUCAGUGAAUAAAUAGUCAUGGCGCUUUGGAUACUGGACUUUCUUGUAGAAAAUGUUGGUGGGGCCUUGUUGAGCAAUCAUGGGGAAUACUUCAAACUUAUCCAAAAUUACUGCCUUUCUACUCAAAUUUUGAUCAGAUUUAUAAAAGGUGGUGACGAGAAAUAUUUUGGCAGGUCAUUGGUGAUGUAUUGAAUCAAGUUUAAGAAUUUAGACAUAUUUUGAAAACUUUACAUUUGAUAGCAUGUGGAAAUAACAAAAAUACUAUUAUUGUGUUUUGUUUUUUGGUUGUGUUGGGUGAUUGUAUUACUUAUAUAUGAUGAUUCAGUCUUAUAUACGUUGUCCCAAACUUUUUUCUAUUGUGAGAGACAAUUCGAUGCAAAAUGUAGGAUUUCUACUUGUUGAUA